CCUACGGGGGGCAGCAGUGAGGAAUAUUGGUCAAUGGACGAGAGUCUGAACCAGCCACGUAGCGUGAAGGAUGACUGCCCUAUGGGUUGUAAACUUCUUUUAUAUGGGAAUAAAACGUUCCACGUGUGGGAUUUUGUAUGUACCAUAUGAAUAAGGAUCGGCUAACUCCGUACCAGCAGCCGCGGUAAUACGGAGGAUCCGAGCGUUAUCCGGAUUUAUUGGGUUUAAAGGGAGCGUAGGUGGAUUGUUAAGUCAGUUGUGAAAGUUUGCGGCUCAACCGUAAAAUUGCAGUUGAAACUGGCAGUCUUGAGUACAGUAGAGGUGGGCGGAAUUCGUGGUGUAGCGGUGAAAUGCUUAGAUAUCACGAAGAACUCCGAUUGCGAAGGCAGUUCACUGGACUGCAACUGACACUGAGGCUCGAAAGUGUGGGUAUCAAACAGGAUUAGAUACCCCUGUAGUC
rnacentral:rRNA from 1 species